rnacentral:lncRNA from 1 species
UAUUGUUAAAAGCGCUAUAUAAAUAAAGGUGACUUGACUUGACUCCUCUCCAUACAGGCCCAAAAUUAGUGGACCUCACUUUAGUACCUUUCCUUAAAGAAAUGCAAGCCACCUGGGAAAUAAAUGGGAAUUAUGAAAAAUUUGAAGUGACAAUUACAAGUGCUGAUGCAAAGGAUAUACAGUCAUAUAAUACUACAAACAAGGAUUACACUUUCAAUAAUCUGAAGGCAGGAGUGUUUUACACUGUUUCAGUUGUCACUCUUAAUGGUAAACUGAGAAGUGUUCCUGCUAAUAAGUCAGAUUACACCCGUGAGUAAUCAUUACAAUGCGAUCACUAUUUUUCGAUCAUAUUUCCAGAAGCUUUAAUCACUGUCUUCAUCAGCUUUUCAAGUUCAGCUGUAUAACAUCUCACAAAUCAAUUCACAGGGCCUGCUAAACCUACCUGGGUAAAGGCCACCGCUAUCAAAAAAACAUACAGCUAAGCUGGGGUGCUCCAGACGAGUCAAAGGGUGUAUUGAUUCAAUAUAUAGUGAAAUAUAACACUUCUUUCUGGAAUGAAUUGAAUCAAACAAAUACAACUGAGACAAAUAUCACCAUUCCUUAUUUAAGACCAGGAACAAAAUAUACGUUCAAUGUCAUGGUCUUGGCUGGAAAUCUGAGUGAUCCAGCCACUACUCAUGCAAACACAGAGCCUGAGAAGAGGACACUGGUCCUCAUGAUGUUGUGUUCCUCUGAAACCGCACUUCAUUGUGACAAACCUGAAACUCGGAAUGAACUGUUUGAAACGGUGAAGAAAUAUUCAAAGACUACAUCAAGCUUGUUGCAACUUUACAGUAACAGAAUUAUUAUGCAAUGAAUGCACACGAGAAAUAAAGAUGAUGAUUAAAAAACACAAUGACCAACAUUUAGAUUUCAUAAAUUAAGUUAAUUAAUAUAUAUAUAUAUAUAUAUAUAGUGUGUGUGUGUGUGUGUGUGUGUGUGUGUGUGUGUGUGUGUGUGUGUGUGUGUGUGUGUUUUAUUUAAACCUUUUAUCUUGAAUGCUAGAGAAAAAAAAAAAAAAAAUAAACAAAUAAACAUUCUACAACAGCUUUGUGCAAAUAGCUGGAAAAGUUAACUGAAAUAAACACAAAUUUUCUUUCUGUCUUUCAGCUGAAAAAAAAAUUUGAUGAUAAAUUUCAAGACUUGGUCCACUGGAAGCUUAAAGCAAAAACUAGGUUUGUAAAAAGAGCUGGAUUUUUUACAAAUUACUAUGAUUUAUAUUAACCUCUGACUCUCAUUUCACAGCAAAGACAUCCUUUGAAUCUCUAUGAUGUGGCCUACAAUCAAGAAAGAAUCACAUACUGAAAGGUGAAUCUGAAUUAUUUUUUUACAUUUCCAUCGAAUGCAACUUACAAAAGAGGAACAAAAGCAAUGUGUCAGAGAGCCAACAAUAUAUGUUAUAUACAAUUUUAUUAGAUUAGAUUAGGAAACAAGGGAGAGAAGAGGAAACAUUUAGAGAAGAAAUAUACGUUUUUGGUAAACUCUGCUUUACGGGAACCAAAUGUCCUCACAGGGAUAGCAAAACCUGAUAUUUUUGACCUUUGCUUGUUUGUUUUUUAUUUUCUGUGUGAGUUAUGGGGCGAGGGUAUAGAAUAUACAGUAUAAAAAUCAUUAUGUCUUUGGAAAGUGCAUUGGUUUAAGAGGUUGUUAAGUGCUUGUUUUUAGCUUCUUGGAGGGUUUUAUUUCGAUUCUCAAUCGUUUUUGGAUCUGUAUGGCGAUUUUUUCUUCUUACAAAUUGCAUAUUGACAUUUACUAUAGAUUGAGUGGUGUGAUGAUAUUUGCUAUAGUUGUGGGAGCUAUAAUUCAUCUUCAAAACUGUAACAUGAAUACCUUUUUUUAAGACCUUUGCUAUAGCUUCAUGUGAAUUCCAGUUUUAAUGUUCAUGAUGGAUUACUGCUGAUUAUUUUGGGGACUGGUUUCAUUAUAAUUAAAGAUAUUACACAUGGGUUUGUUUGCAUUAUUUCACUACUUUAUACAAGUUCUCAGUAUAAUUACUUUCUUUCCAACUUGUGAUGUUCAUUUACAUCUACAACCAUAAGUCCUCAAUAUUUCUGUCUUGUUUUCCAAAUUAGUAAACACUCUUAAAUCAAGAUACAUUUACUUGAACAAUUAUAAUAUAUAUAUAUGUUUAUA